rnacentral:rRNA from 1 species
UUGGGAAUCUUGGACAAUGGGGGAAACCCUGAUCCAGCCAUGCCGCGUGAGUGAUGAAGGCCUUCGGGUUGUAAAACUCUUUCGGCGGGGACGGUAAUGACGGUACCCGCAGAAGAAGCUCCGGCUAACUUCGUGCCAGCAGCCGCGGUAAUACGAAGGGGGCUAGCGUUGUUCGGAAUUACUGGGCGUAAAGCGCGCGCAGGCGGCUAUCCAAGUCAGUGGUGAGAGCCCGGAGCUCAACUCCGGAACUGCCAUUGAAACUGUUUAGCUUGGGGACGAGAGAGGUGAGUGGAAUUCCCAGUGUAGAGGUGAAAUUCGUAGAUAUUGGGAAGAACACCGGUGGCGAAGGCGGCUCACUGGCUCGUUUCUGACGCUCAGGCGCGAUAGCGUGGGGAUCAAACA